GAGGGUAUAGCUCAGUGGUAGAGCAUAUGGUUAGCAUACUCAAGGCACUGGGUUCAAAUCCCAGCACUCCUC
rnacentral:tRNA from 1 species